AGGACGAACGCUGGCGGCGUGCUUAACACAUGCAAGUCGAGCGGAAAGGCCCUUCGGGGUACUCGAGCGGCGAACGGGUGAGUAACACGUGAGCAAUCUGCCCUUAGCUUCGGGAUAGCUCCGGGAAACCGGAAUUAAUACCGAAUAUGACUACGGUUGACAUCAGCCAUGGUGGAAAGUUUUUCGGCUAGGGAUGAGCUCGCGGCCUAUCAGCUAGUUGGUGGGUAACGGCCUACCAAGGCGACGACGGGUA
rnacentral:rRNA from 1 species